rnacentral:rRNA from 1 species
AGCAGCCGCGGUAAUUCCAGCUCCAAUAGCGUAUAUUAAAGUUGUUGCAGUUAAAAGCUCGUAGUUGAAUUUCGGGAUUGACACAUCGGUCGUGCCUUAAGGGGUAUGAACUGGUGUAGUCAAUUUCUCACCUCCUGGAGAACCGCGAUGCCCUUAAUUGGGUGUCGCGGGGAACCAGGACCUUUACUUUGAAAAAAUUAGAGUGUUUAAAGCAGGCAUUUGCUUGAAUACAUUAGCAUGGAAUAAUAAAAUAGGACGGCAUGAUUCUAUUUUGUUGGUUUCUAGGAUCACCGUAAUGAUUAAUAGGGAUAGUUGGGGGCAUUAGUAUUCAAUUGUCAGAGGUGAAAUUCUUGGAUUUAUUGAAGACUAACUACUGCGAAAGCAUUUGCCAAGGAUGUUUUCAUUAAUCAAGAACGAAAGUUUAGGGGAUCGAAGACGAUCAGGAUACCGUCGUAGUCUUAACCAUAAACUAUGCCGACUAGGAAUCAGACGAUGUUAAUUUUUUAAUGACUCGUUUGGC